UAACGAACCCUUCCAAAGACUUUAAAAGUGAAUAUUGGUUCCACAGAUUAGGUAUAUAAAAUUAAAAUUGUAAUAAAUUGAAACUACAGUCAGAUAUUUGUCAUAAAAGCGUAUCUUUACAGAGGUGUUUUCUCCGGAAAAUUGCGGUAAUCAAACACGGUUAUCAUGAUAAUUAGAAUUUAA